AAAAUUAAAGGUCUAAUCUGCCCAAUGAUAUUUGAAUGGCCGCGGUAACUUGACCGUGCAAAGGUAGCAUAAUAAUUAGUCUUUUAAUUGAAGGCUUGAAUGAAAGAUUGGAUGAAAAAUAAACUUUAUUAAUAUAAAUUAUUUAAUUUAUUAUUUAAGUAAAAAUUCUUAAAUGUGUAAGUGGGACGAGAAGACCCUAUAGAGUUUUAUUUUUAUUUCUAUUAUUAAAUUAAAGAAUUAAUAUUUUUAUAAUAUAAAUGAAUUUUUUAUUGGGGUGAUAUUAAAAAUUUAUGAACUUUUAAUAAAUAUUUCAUUAAUAUAUGUAUAUUUGAUCCAAAAAAAAUUUUGAUUAUAAGAUUUAAUUACCUUAGGGAUAACAGCGUUAUUAAUUUGAAGAGUUCAAAUCGAUAAAUUAGUUUGCGACCUCGAUGUUGGAUUAAGAAUAAAUUUUGAAGUAGCAUUUAAGAUUAUAGGUCUGUUCGACCUUUAAAUUCUUACG
rnacentral:rRNA from 1 species